AUUGAACGCUGGCGGCAUGCCUUACACAUGCAAGUCGAACGGCAGCACGGGUGCUUGCACCUGGUGGCGAGUGGCGAACGGGUGAGUAAUACAUCGGAACGUACCUUAGCGUGGGGAAUAACGCAGCGAAAGCUGUGCUAAUACCGCAUACGCCCUGAGGGGGAAAGCGGGGGAUCGCAAGACCUCGCGCGAUUAGAGCGGCCGAUGCCUGAUAAGCUUGUUGGUGGGGUAAAAGCCCACCAAGGCGACGAUCAGUAGCUGGUCUGAGAGGACGAUCAGCCACACUGAGACUGAGACACGGCCCAAACUCCUACGGGAGGCAGCGGUGGGGAAUUUUGGACAAUGGGGGCAACCCUGAUCCAGCAAUGCCGCGUGAGUGAAGAAGGCCUUCGGGUUGUAAAGCUCUUUUGUCAGGGAAGAAACACCGGCUCUAACACAGUCCGGGAAUGACGGUACCUGAAGAAUAAGCACCGGCUAACUACGUGCCAGCCGCCGCCGUAA
rnacentral:rRNA from 1 species